rnacentral:tRNA from 1 species
CGGGGCAUGGCUCAGUUGGCUAAGAGCGCACGCUUCGGGUGCGUGAGGUCGCCGGUUCGAGUCCGGCUGCCCCGA